GACGAACGCUGGCGGCGUGCUUAACACAUGCAAGUCGAACGGAAAGGCCCUGCUUUUGUGGGGUGCUCGAGUGGCGAACGGGUGAGUAACACGUGAGUAACCUGCCCUUGACUUUGGGAUAACUUCAGGAAACUGGGGCUAAUACCGGAUAGGAGCUCCUGCUGCAUGGUGUGGGUUGGAACGUUUCGGCGGUUGGGGAUGGACUCGCGGCUUAUCAGCUUGUUGGUGGGGUAGUGGCUUACCAAGGCUUUGACGGGUAGCCGGCAUGAGAGGGUGACCGGCAACAUUGGGACUGAGAUACGGCCCAGACUCCUACGGGAGGCAGCAGUGGGGAAUAUUGCACAAUGGGCGGAAGCAUGAUGCAGCAACGCCGCGUGCGGGAUGACGGCCUUCGGGUUGUAAACCGCUUUCGCCUGUGACGAAGCGUGAGUGACGGUAAUGGGUAAAGAAGCACCGGCUAACUACGUG
rnacentral:rRNA from 1 species